AGGACGAACGCUGGCGGCGUGCCUAACACAUGCAAGUCGAACGAGGUCCAACCGGUGGCAACACUGGUGAAGACCGAGUGGCGAACGGGUGAGUAACACGUGAGCAACCUGCCUCGAAGACUGGGAUAACCCCGGGAAACCGGAGCUAAUACCGGAUACCCCCACCGGGUCGCAUGGCCUGGUGAGGAAAUGGAUUCCGCUUUGAGAGGGGCUCGCGGCCUAUCAGCUUGAUGGUGGGGUAAUGGCCUACCAUGGCACCGACGGGUAGCUGGUCUGAGAGGACGAUCAGCCACACUGGGACUGAGACACGGCCCAGACUCCUACGGGAGGCAGCAGUGGGGAAUCUUGCGCAAUGGGCGAAAGCCUGACGCAGCAACGCCGCGUGUGGGACGAAGGCCUUCUGGGUUGUAAACCACUUUCAGCAGGGACGAUUGUGACGGUACCUGCAGAAGAAGCCCGGCCAACUACGCGCCAGCAGCCGCGGU
rnacentral:rRNA from 1 species